UUUUGACGCGGAGUGUAUGCAAGCUCACAAGUCGGCACAUAAACUCAUGUCUUAUCAGAGUCUAUAUAAACUCGUAUGGAAUUGAGUACUUGGUAUCAGUGUGCCGUAAAAUAUCGUACAAGGUGCAGCAAGAAAAUAGUAUUUUCUUCAGGUAAAAGUACAUAUUUCCGCCAAGACCGGAUAUGAUUUCCCGAACGAGAAUCCUCGUCGUGUUCUUACUGGCGCUGCUAAUUCUGCAAUGUUCGAUUGGGAUGUCCGAGUCGGCCAAGUGGUGGGACAAGGUUAAGGAUGUGUGUGGCUAUGUGGGACCUAAAUUAUCCACCAUUGGCACAGUGAUGGACUUAAUUGCUGUGCUAGGAUGAACUUUAUUCCGAAUUAAAUUACGCAAACUAUGUACAUAUCUAUAUAUUUCUGAAUGUCAAAAAUGCAAAAUAAAUAAACCGUAGAAACGGAACUAAGC